rnacentral:rRNA from 1 species
CACGUAGGGGGCAAGCGUUGUCCGGAUUUAUUGGGCGUAAAGAGCUCGUAGGCGGUUCGGUAAGUCGGGUGUGAAACCUCCAGGCUCAACCUGGAGACGCCACCCGAUACUGCUGUGACUAGAGUCCGGUAGGGGAGCGUGGAAUUCCUGGUGUAGCGGUGAAAUGCGCAGAUAUCAGGAGGAACACCAACGGCGAAGGCAGCACUCUGGGCUGGAACUGACGCUGAGGAGCGAAAGCGUGGGUAGCAAACAGG